GAUGAACGCUGGCGGCGUGCUUAACACAUGCAAGUCGAACGGUGAAGGCGGAGCUUGCUCUGCUGGAUCAGUUGCGAACGGGUGAGUAACACGUGAGCAAUCUGCCCCUGACUCUGGGAUAAGCGCUGGAAACGGCGUCUAAUACUGGAUACGAGCUGCGAAGGCAUCUUCAGCAGCUGGAAAGAAUUUCGGUCAGGGAUGAGCUCGCGGCCUAUCAGCUUGUUGGUGAGGUAAUGGCUCACCAAGGCGUCGACGGGUAGCCGGCCUGAGAGGGUGACCGGCCACACUGGGACUGAGACAAGGCACAGACUCCUACGGGAGGCAGCAGUGGGGAAUAUUGCACAAUGGGCGAAAGCCUGAUGCAGCAACGCCGCGUGAGGGACGACGGCAUUCGGGUUGUAAACCUAUUUUAGCAGGGAAGAAGCGAAAGUGACGGUACCUGCAGAAAAAGCGCCGGCUAACUACGUG
rnacentral:rRNA from 1 species